CCAGUCCCAAGUGUAAGCUUCGUUGAUGUCUUAAAUAAAUCAUACUGACCACAAUGUCAGAUUAAUCUUGUUUUAUCUGAUUUCUAAACCCAGUAGUUUGGAGAAUUAAUACAGCUUUGGGAAAAUCAAAAAUCUCUGUGAUAAUUCUUUUGUUAUACAUAAACUCACUCAACAAAGAGUGAAGUCAUUUGGAUCGAUUCAUUCUUUUCCAGGCACUUUUGGAUCCAGAGGAAACCCACCAAGAAGAAAGAAGGCUUUGAGACAUGUCGUCUUCUUCCUUCACUCCUCAAAGGACUGCGGUAGAGAACAUGAAUUAUGGUGUAACCCGUGGCUGGCAACAGCAUGUCAGAAGUGGGCACCUCCCUGGGGACAGGAGAGAAAUCACAGCCUCACUUCUUCCUGCCCACUGCAGCCAAAGGUACUGUGUGUGGUAAGUCGUUGUUGGGUUGUGGUUCAGCUAGGAGGGCCUGGUAGCUGAAAUCCAGAAUUCAGGAUAAGCAAAGCAAGAAAUUCCUUCUCCUUAUUGUUGUUAUUUAAUUUUUUUUAAGGAUGGAAGUACAUGAUUGAGUGUCUUGUUUAGCUUUAUUGGUAACUUGUUUCCUAGGUGUGCUAUGGUGGAUGUUCUAGAAUAGGUAGAAUUGAGUUUUUGCUUCUCGUAAACAAGAGGGACAAAGAUUUUGUUCUUCCAUUGAUAUAUCCCCUGUGGUUCUGCCAUUCUCUGCUGGUUGAAUCUAAGUGCUACUUUCUUCUGUAUGCUUCUGAUUGACAGUAAUUCUUACUGGUAGUCACAGUGGAUCCCCUCCACAGCAUCUCCCUGCCUAUCCCAGCUCUAGUCUUGUUAGGAAACCCAGAUGCUGUGUAGCAGUCUGAUGACAGGCUUUACAACAGGGUACUUAUAUCAAGUAGAAACUCGUCAGGAAUAUUGCUUGAAGGAUAUCUUGACAAAUAUCACUGAGUGGCAAGGUGCAGAUGCUAAUAAUUUUCAGAUGAACCUGGUGAACCAGGAAUGGGUUUUGGCUUGAUGACUUAUCCACCCUUCUACCACUUCCUACAUUUCUUUCUCUCCUGGACCGUAUCUGAUGGCAGACACAUCAGAAAGGGAUAAAACCAGCACGUCACUUAUCUUUGAUGUGGGAUUAUUUUAUAUCUAUCCAUCUGAAAAUUAUUGCAGCGAGG
rnacentral:lncRNA from 1 species